AAAUUGAAGAGUUUGAUCAUGGCUCAGAUUGAACGCUGGCGGCAGGCCUAACACAUGCAAGUCGAGCGGUAGCACAGAGAGCUUGCUCUCGGGUGACGAGCGGCGGACGGGUGAGUAAUGUCUGGGAAACUGCCUGAUGGAGGGGGAUAACUACUGGAAACGGUAGCUAAUACCGCAUAAUGUCGCAAGACCAAAGUGGGGGACCUUCGGGCCUCAUGCCAUCAGAUGUGCCCAGAUGGGAUUAGCUAGUAGGUGGGGUAACGGCUCACCUAGGCGACGAUCCCUAGCUGGUCUGAGAGGAUGACCAGCCACACUGGAACUGAGACACGGUCCAGACUCCUACGGGAGGCAGCAGUGGGGAAUAUUGCACAAUGGGCGCAAGCCUGAUGCAGCCAUGCCGCGUGUGUGAAGAAGGCCUUCGGGUUGUAAAGCACUUUCAGCGGGGAGGAAGGCGUUAAGGUUAAUAACCUUGGCGAUUGACGUUACCCGCAGAAGAAGCACCGGCUAACUCCGUGCCAGCAGCCGCGGUAAUACGGAGGGUGCAAGCGUUAAUCGGAAUUACUGGGCGUAAAGCGCACGCAGGCGGUCUGUCAAGUCGGAUGUGAAAUCCCCGGGCUCAACCUGGGAACUGCAUUCGAAACUGGCAGGCUAGAGUCUUGUAGAGGGGGGUAGAAUUCCAGGUGUAGCGGUGAAAUGCGUAGAGAUCUGGAGGAAUACCGGUGGCGAAGGCGGCCCCCUGGACAAAGACUGACGCUCAGGUGCGAAAGCGUGGGGAGCAAACAGGAUUAGAUACCCUGGUAGUCCACGCCGUAAACGAUGUCGAUUUGGAGGUUGUGCCCUUGAGGCGUGGCUUCCGGAGCUAACGCGUUAAAUCGACCGCCUGGGGAGUACGGCCGCAAGGUUAAAACUCAAAUGAAUUGACGGGGGCCCGCACAAGCGGUGGAGCAUGUGGUUUAAUUCGAUGCAACGCGAAGAACCUUACCUGGUCUUGACAUCCACAGAACUUUCCAGAGAUGGAUUGGUGCCUUCGGGAACUGUGAGACAGGUGCUGCAUGGCUGUCGUCAGCUCGUGUUGUGAAAUGUUGGGUUAAGUCCCGCAACGAGCGCAACCCUUAUCCUUUGUUGCCAGCGGUCCGGCCGGGAACUCAAAGGAGACUGCCAGUGAUAAACUGGAGGAAGGUGGGGAUGACGUCAAGUCAUCAUGGCCCUUACGACCAGGGCUACACACGUGCUACAAUGGCAUAUACAAAGAGAAGCGACCUCGCGAGAGCAAGCGGACCUCAUAAAGUAUGUCGUAGUCCGGAUUGGAGUCUGCAACUCGACUCCAUGAAGUCGGAAUCGCUAGUAAUCGUAGAUCAGAAUGCUACGGUGAAUACGUUCCCGGGCCUUGUACACACCGCCCGUCACACCAUGGGAGUGGGUUGCAAAAGAAGUAGGUAGCUUAACCUUCGGGAGGGCGCUUACCACUUUGUGAUUCAUGACUGGGGUGAAGUCGUAACAAGGUAACCGUAGGGGAACCUGCGGUUGGAUCACCUCCUUACCUUAAAGAA
rnacentral:rRNA from 2 species